rnacentral:rRNA from 1 species
AGGGAAUCUUCGGCAAUGGGGGCAACCCUGACCGAGCAACGCCGCGUGAGUGAAGAAGGUUUUCGGAUCGUAAAGCUCUGUUGUAAGUCAAGAACGGGUGUGAGAGUGGAAAGUUCACACUGUGACGGUAGCUUACCAGAGAGGGACGGCUAACUACGUGCCAGCAGCCGCGGUAAUACGUAGGUCCCGAGCGUUGUCCGGAUUUAUUGGGCGUAAAGCGAGCGCAGGCGGUUUGAUAAGUCUGAAGUUAAAGGCUGUGGCUCAACCAUAGUUCGCUUUGGAAACUGUCAAACUUGAGUGCAGAAGGGGAGAGUGGAAUUCCAUGUGUAGCGGUGAAAUGCGUAGAUAUAUGGAGGAACACCGGUGGCGAAAGCGGCUCUCUGGUCUGUAACUGACGCUGAGGCUCGAAAGCGUGGGGAGCGAACAGGAUUAGAUACCCUGGUAGUCCACGCCGUAAACGAUGAGUGCUAGGUGUUGGAUCCUUUCCGGGAUUCAGUGCCGCAGCUAACGCAUUAAGCACUCCGCCUGGGGAGUACGACCGCAAGGUUGAAAC